rnacentral:rRNA from 1 species
UACGUAGGGGGCAAGCGUUGUCCGGAAUCAUUGGGCGUAAAGAGCGCGUAGGCGGCCCUGUAAGUCCGCUGUGAAAGUCAAGGGCUCAACCCUUGGAUGCCGGUGGAUACUGCAGGGCUAGAGUCCGGAAGAGGCGAGUGGAAUCCUGGUGUAGCGGUGAAAUGCGCAGAUAUCAGGAGGAACACCGAUGGCGAAGGCAGCUCGCUGGGACGGUACUGACGCUGAGGCGCGAAAGCGUGGGGAGCAAACAGG